UACGAAGGGAGCUAGCGUUGUUCGGAAUCACUGGGCGUAAAGCGCACGUAGGCGGAUGUGUCAGUCAGGGGUGAAAUCCCGGAGCUCAACUUCGGAACUGCCUUUGAUACAGCACGUCUUGAGUCCGAUAGAGGUGGGUGGAAUUCCUAGUGUAGAGGUGAAAUUCGUAGAUAUUAGGAGGAACACCGAUGGCGAAGGCAGCACUCUGGGCCGGCACUGACGCUGAGGAGCGAAAGCUAGGGGAGCAAACAGG
rnacentral:rRNA from 1 species